UCUAACACAUGACACGUCGAACGGUAACAGGAAUUAGCUUGCUAAUUUGCUGACGAGUGGCGGACGGGUGAGUAAUGCUUGGGAAUUUGCCUUUGCGAGGGGGAUAACAGUUGGAAACGACUGCUAAUACCGCAUGAUGUCUACGGACCAAAGGGGGCUUUUAGCUCUCGCGCAAAGAGAAGCCCAAGUGAGAUUAGCUAGUUGGUGAGGUAAAGGCUCACCAAGGCGACGAUCUCUAGCUGUUCUGAGAGGAAGAUCAGCCACACUGGGACUGAGACACGGCCCAGACUCCUACGGGAGGCAGCAGUGGGGAAUAUUGCACAAUGGGGGAAACCCUGAUGCAGCCAUGCCGCGUGUGUGAAGAAGGCCUUCGGGUUGUAAAGCACUUUCAGUUGUGAGGAAAGGUUGGUAGUUAAUACCUGCCAGCUGUGACGUUAACAACAGAAGAAGCACCGGCUAACUCCGUGCCAGCAGCCGCGGUAAUACGGAGGGUGCGAGCGUUAAUCGGAAUUACUGGGCGUAAAGCGCACGCAGGCGGUUUGUCAAGCGAGAUGUGAAAGCCCCGGGCUUAACCUGGGAAUUGCAUUUCGAACUGGCAGGCUAGAGUCUUGGAGAGGGGAGUGGAAUUCCAGGUGUAGCGGUGAAAUGCGUAGAGAUCUGGAGGAACAUCAGUGGCGAAGGCGACUCCCUGGCCAAGACUGACGCUCAUGUGCGAAAGUGUGGGUAGCGAACAGGAUUAGAUACCCUGGUAGUCCCCACCGUAAACGCUGUCUACUAGCUGUGUGUGC
rnacentral:rRNA from 1 species